rnacentral:rRNA from 1 species
GAUGAACGCUAGCGGCAGGCCCAAUACAUGCAAGGCGAAGGGGCAGCAAUGUCACUGUCGUACGGGUGCGUAACGCGUAUGCAACCUACCUAUCACCGGGGGAUAGCCUUUGGAAACAGGGAUUAAUACCGCAUAAUACUAUAGGGUAGCAUUAUUUUAUAGUUAAAGAUUUAUUGGUGAUAGGCGGGCAUGCGUCUGAU